CUUGCAGUAUAAGAGUAAGAGCAAACACAUUGAAUGAGAGAAUGUUGUUGGUAUUAGUGAUAAAUGAUAAAAGUUCCAUGAAUUUAUUUAUGUGAGUUCCCUGAAUAAAAAUUGAAGGAAUUUUCCAAAUAUAGUAGAUUCCUAAAUAUAGCUGUAGGAGAUUCCUAAAUAUUGCUGUAGGAGAUUCCCUAAAUAAAUAGCUGUAGGUGAUUACCUAAAUAUAGCUGUAGGAGAUUCCUAAAUAUAGCUGUAGGAGAUUCCUAAAUAUAGCUGUAGGAGAUUCCUAAAUAUAGCUGUAGGAGAUUCCCUAAAUAUAGCUGUAGGAGAUUCCCUUCGGGGAAGUUCCCUGAUUACAGCAACGAGGAGUCCCCAUAAUAUAAGCUCUGGGGAAUUCCAUUAGGAAGUCCAUAAAAAUGACUCGAGAGUUGCCUGAAUAUAGCUCUGGGGAGUCCUCUGAAUACAGCUCUGGGGAGUUCUCUGAAUAUAGCUCUGGGGAGUUCUCUGAAUAUAGAUCUGGGGAGUUCUCUGAAUAUAGCUCUGAAGAAAUUCGUAAAUAUGGCUCUUAGAUGUUCUCUGAAAGGUUUAGGGAGUUCUCUGACAAUGUAGCUCUUGGCACAUGGUUUACAGCUUUUGGAAUUUGCUUUAAUAUAGCUUUAGGGAGUUGUCUGAAUACAACACAAGGGAACUCUUAAUAUUAUAGCUCAAAGAAUGUCUGAAUCACAUUUAUGCAAUUAUAUUAAGAAAAUGUUUAGAGAUAACUCUGUUCAAACCUGUAUAUUGAUAUUAAAUAUACAUGCUAAUACAAACAAGCAAUAUUUUCACCAAAGGAUGGAGAUGAACUGUAUCUAUGCAAUUAUAUUAAGAGUGAUUGUAGAUCUGACUGAGUUUGGCUGUGACAUCAAACCCACAUAUUUCCUAUGAAAUGUAAAUACAUUUAUACGUCCUUUAUGCCAUAUACUGAUGUAUAGUAGGAUAUUAUCCCAAUUUGGUGGGUCAGAAGCAUGUUUGCAUAAAGACAAGUGUAAAAAUGAGCUGCAAUAAUUAACUUCAUAACGAUAAUGUUGUCAUAAAGAAGCGUGCACGUGGUUAUAUAUGACGAGUCAUAUAGAUAAAUAGUAAUGAUGUGUGAAAAUAGAUUAUAUCACACAUUUAAUAGAUUUGGUGAUGAUUUAUUUAACAAAAUACACUUAAAUGUACUUUUUGUUGCUCACUAAAUUGUAUGCUAUCAUAAAGCCUAAUCAUUCGAUUAUUUGAUACUUUACAUGCCGAGUGUCCCGUCUCUGUGCUAAAACGAUGCUAAAUUUAGUUCCUUCAAAUGUCUAGAUAGCAAAAUUAUAAUCUAUGUAAAUUUAAUUUUCUAAUUUUGGGUCAGUAUCGCGAACAUUGUAUGUCCCGGUAAAUAACCUGCUAUACGGUACUGAAUUUAGACAUCCAUCAGAAUUUUGCAUUAUUAUCACCUGUAUAUCAGUAUGUCAUGAAUAGUGUAAGGAUGAACAGCAUUUUUUUCAUGAUAACUACUAUCAGUAACAUAAGAGGAUGAGUAAGCUGGACCAUAGUGCGAGGUUGGACCAUAGGGAAAGUUUUGAAGAGUGUUGAGAAUGGAUAUUUUCAUUUGUUCAGAUUUCUGAAGUGCUGAAGGGUUUAUUAUUUGAUCUCUCAAUGCUUGUAGUUCUAGUUCUGUAAAUUUAGUGAGUGUUUUACUGUUUAUUUUAUUGACUGUUCCUAAAGAUAUUAACAAGGUUUUGCUGUUAAGUAAUAUAGUUACAUGUCUCAACAUUGUGUUGUUCUGAAGUUGUUGUAAAUGAUUGCCAGAGUGAUAACUGGAUAAGUAUGCAAAGCAUUCAAGUCUGUAUUAUAUAAAUGAAAUAAUCUUGUUAAUUAGUUCAUUAUUAUGAUCAGUACUUGGUACUAGAGGGGGUGACCUGAUACGUUUGUGGUGUUACAUUUCUGUCAGGUUUGUGGUGACCACUGCCUGAUACGUUUGUGGUGUUACAUUUCUGUCAGUUUUGUGAGGUUGUGACUGUUAGCCUAUCAGUAUGUUACACUGUAUGUAGUGUGAGAUCUUUAACAAUGAGUAGGGCGUUUCUUGCCAUGGACAGUGCUCACAUCUCAACCUCUUCUUACAUCUCCUCUGGCUGAUGUCCAACCAACAUUAAAACUAUCAAAUGAAAAAGCAUCUCGCAGAAAUUGAAUACACAAGUCUUUUCAUGGAAGUCACAAGUCCUGCCUACAUUGUACUUGGGCUUGACAUCAGUAAGGGCACACUGUAGUGUACUUUCUCUGUUAGAGUGUGAUGUAUUUCUGUUAGUGUGUAAUGUAUUUCUGUUAGAGUGUAAUGUAUUUCUGUUAGUGUGUAAUGUAUUUCUGUCAGAUUAUAUUGUAUUUCUGUUGGAGUAUAUUGUAUUUCUGUCAGAGUAUAUUGUAUUUCUGUAGUGUAGUUUAUCUCAUUGAUAAGAGGUAAUUUAGAAAGCUUCAAAUAUGUUGCAAAUCAACAAAUAAAAUAAAAUAAAUCAAUGUCCUGUAGUUCUAAGUAAACGUUCUAACUAGAAAGGUCAGAUGUUGCUAGCCACCUAGCUACAGGCGUUUGAGGUUGUGGUCACUUAUAGGUGUUAAAUGCUGUGUCAGUUCAGAACUGUAGGGGUUCAUAGCCCCUGUAUUUAUGGGAAGUAAAGUGUGUUGGCAUGAUAAAUGGACAAGAAUUUUCAAACUCCACUUCUCCAAGAAAAGUGGGUCGGCCUACAACCAGGCUGUUACCCUCUGCAUGGGCAGUGAGGAAAGUAGGAUGGGCUUAUUACCUGACAUAGGCUUAGUACUGUUAAAACAUGGUAUGUGUAUAGACAAUAUCAGAUACUCGGUAUCGUUGUCUGUCCUAGCUACAUUAGGUUCAUAAUGUCAUUAAUUGCCAUAGCUUAUUUGUCUUGCUAUCAUUUUGCUUGUGAACUCCCUCAGAGGUGUCCUCAUUAUUAAUUAGAUGGUCAUGAACAGUCGUAUCUGUUUCACUAUGUAAUAUUUAUCGACAACAUUAGAUACCAUUUAUAUGGUCAUUAUCUGUAACAUGGUCUGAGUGUGAGAGACAUGAAUGAUACGGGGUAAAAUGAAAGUAUUAUUAUAAUGCAUUGACUGUUGUCCAUGUGUAUUUUAGGUAAAACCUCAUGUUUGAAAAAUCAUAAUUAAAUGAAAUUAUGUAUGUUGACAAAGUAUGACAAAAGUUCUGUCUGUGUAAUGGUAUGAUCAAUAUCAUAUUGUGAAUUUGUUAUCAAAUGUGGUGAAUUGUAUGUAAAUCAUGUAUUUUGAAGAAUCUGAAAGCCUUACCUUUGUUUUUUUGAAUAUGGAAGAUUUUUGAAUAUCGAAGAUAUCUCCAUAAGUGUUUGAAUAAUUUAUAUUCAAACAUUUUUACCAGAAUAAUGAAAAAAUAAAAAAAAUGUACUUGGUGAGCCCAUUAAAAGUAGCUGUCUAGAAGCAAAUUUUGUUUGUUUAACAGAUUUUGCACAUUAGAAAUUUCAUUCAGGUCCUUUGUUUAACUAAAAGCUUACAUAUGGUAGUUAAAGCAAGUAUUUGCUGCUAACAUUAAAAUUCAGGUAAAUCAUAAUUUUUAAACUCCUGUCCUGAAUCCAGGCAUAGAUUGAACAUAGCUUUGGUACAGCUUGCAACACAAGGAGAUAUAAUUUUUAGGUACAUUAAAAUGCAUUACGAUUGCCUUGCUAAUGAGUACUUCAUAACAAAGAAAACGUAAUAAUGUUGCUUUAGUUAACAGUACUUAAUGAGACUACUAAAAGAAACUAUCAUGAAGGCCAAAGUGCAUUUAUUAUACUGCUUAAAAAUCAGUAGAACAUGAAGGCCAAAUGUACUAGGUGUUGGGAUCUGAACCUUAUUAGAUUUGGGAUAAAGUCUAAAUGUUAGGUAUGUGUGGUGAAGGCUUCAGGGUUAAAGUUGCACUAUUUAGUAGGCUAUUUAGUAGGUUUUAUCCACAUCAGUGUUAAAGUUGCACUAUUUGGUAGGCUAUUUAGUAGGUUUUAUCCACAUCACAGUGUUAAAGUUGCUCUAUUUAGUAGGUUUUAUCCACAUCACAGGGUUAAAGUGGCACUAUUUAGUAGGCUAUUUAGUAGGUUUUAUCCACAUCACAGGGUUAAAGUUGCACUAUUUAGUUGGCUAUUUAGUAGGUUUUAUCCACAUCGUAGAGUUAAAGUUGCACUAUUUAGUAGGCUAUUUAGUGGGUUUUAUCCACAUCACAGGGUUAAAGUUGCACUAGUUAGUUGGCUAUUUAGUAGGUUUUAUCCACAUCGUAGAGUUAAAGUUGCACUAUUUAGUAGGCUAUUUAGUAGGGUUUAUCCACAUCACAGGGUUAAAGUUGCACUAUUUAGUAGGCUAUUUAGUAGGUUUUAUCCACAUCACAGAAUCUCUAUGUCAUUGUCUCUCAAUGUUGUCUGUGCUUUGUAUAUUUGAUUUGCAUGACUGUUGUUUUGUUGUUUGUUUUAAUCUGUUUUAUUUAUGUUGAUUUUUAAUGUUACUGUCGAAUAAAUGGUUUCAAGAUU